AGAGUUUGAUCAUGGCUCAGAACGUACGCUGGCGGCACGCCUAACACAUGCAAGUCGAACGAAGUAGCAAUACUUAGUGGCAGACGGGUGAGUAACAUGUAGGUAUCUGCCCUUUGGCCUGGAAUAACACGAGGAAACUUGUGCUAAUACCGGAUAAGUCUUUACGGAGAAAGCUUUAUGCACCAUUGGAUGAGCCUGCACUUGAUUAGUUUGUUGGUGGGGUAAUGGCCUACCAAGACUGUGAUCAAUAGCUGAUUUGAGAGGAUGAUCAGCCACAUUGGGACUGAGACACGGCCCAAACUCCUACGGGAGGCAGCAGUGGGGAAUCUUGCACAAUGGAGGAAACUCUGAUGCAGCGAUGCCGCGUGAGUGAAGAAGGCCCUUGGGUUGUAAAGCUCUUUCGUCGGGGAAGAAAAUGACUGUACCCGAAUAAGAAGGUCCGGCUAACUUCGUGCCAGCAGCCGCGGUAAUACGAAGGGACCUAGCGUAGUUCGGAAUUACUGGGCUUAAAGAGUUCGUAGGUGGUUGAAAAAGUUAGUGGUGAAAUCCCAGAGCUUAACUCUGGAACUGCCAUUAAAACUUUUCAGCUAGAGUAUGAUAGAGGAAAGCAGAAUUUCUAGUGUAGAGGUGAAAUUCGUAGAUAUUAGAAAGAAUACCAAUUGCGAAGGCAGCUUUCUGGAUCAUUACUGACACUGAGGAACGAAAGCAUGGGUAGCGAAGAGGAUUAGAUACCCUCGUAGUCCAUGCCGUAAACGAUGUGUGUUAGACGUUGGAAAUUUAUUUUCAGUGUCGCAGGGAAACCGAUAAACACACCGCCUGGGGAGUACGACCGCAAGGUUAAAACUCAAAUGAAUUGACGGGGACCCGCACAAGUAGUGGAGCAUGUGGUUUAAUUCGAAGAUACGCGCAGAACCUUACCAACACUUGACAUGUUCGUCGCGACUCUAAGAGAUUAGAGUUUUCGGUUCGGCCGGACGAAACACA
rnacentral:rRNA from 1 species